rnacentral:misc_RNA from 1 species
GGGUUGUGACGUCAAGGCUUCACGUAUGGACCAUUGUGAGUGUCAAAUGUAAUUUCUAUGAAUGAAUAGUAUUGGUCCGUACAAUUCGUUGAAUUAUCGAUUUUUUUUCGAUAGUUCCUUGGCGUAUUUAAAGUAAAUACUCAUCGGUACGGGUUUAUAAGCUUCCUGUUUUCCAAGAUGAACGGAAAAGGCACAAUUUUAGUGACCAUAGUUUUCAUCCUGUCAAGCUGUUUGGUGCUAGAAUGUCUCUCAGAUGCGACCGGGGAUGUGUCAGAAAGUUCAAAAGAACACGAUACAAAGAACAAGGAGAGCUCAGAUGAGGACUCAAUCAUCCACAGUCUGAAAAAGAGGAAAGGGAACGUGGGAUUUCUUCAUGCUUUCAUUGCAUCUCUCUCAGUUAUCAUUGUGUCUGAACUCGGAGACAAGACAUUUUUUAUAGCAGCCAUUAUGGCAAUGAGACACUCACGUCUGACUGUUUUUAGUGGGGCUUUAGGAGCUUUAGGGCUGAUGACAGUAUUGUCAGGUGUGUUCUAGUAACUAGUUAUUUGUUAUAAAACAAACACAGUUGUUAUGGUUCUGUUAUUUAUUGGUAAACAUCAUUUGUAGACAACAAAUCAUGAGAUAGCAUGCCAUGUGAAGGAGGCAGAGUUAUCAGUAAAUUAACUAUCAAUUUUUCCCUAAACUUUCAGAUAUUAUUUGUACUACCUUUUAGUAAAGAAAAAAACCCCAAAUAUUUUAGAUUAAAAAAUUGCUUUAUCUUUAUGCAUAGCUCUUCAUAUUAGGAGAUUUAAUAUAGUCUUCAAAUGGCCAGGUCCAUCCAGCCUUCUUAAAUGAUAAAAUCUAAAGAAUGUGUUCAAGGUGUACCAGUAGUAAUAAGCCAUACCAGCUUAUAAUGUUUUUGGAGACAUUAAUCCAAGUGAGCUAAUGCUGAAAAAGAUUUUGUUGCAAACUGAUUCUUAACUUUGACUCUUUCUUUUAUAGCUUUGUUGGGAUAUGCAACAACAAUUAUACCGAAGAAAGUCACAUACUAUGUUUCAUCCAUCUUGUUCGCUGUGUUCGGAUUAAAAAUGUUGAAAGAAGGUUAUGAGAUGUCCCCUGAUGAGGGACAAGAGGAAUAUGAGGAAGUACAGGCUGACUUGAAAAAAAGAGAGGAAGAAUUGGAGAAAGAGAAUAGGCCUGUAGAGGACAUAGAGACAGGCAUUAUCCGUUCCCCCGGGCGCCGCUGGUUCCACGGAAUCCUAGGGACAAUAUUUCUACAAGCUUUCACCCUCACAUUUCUAGCAGAGUGGGGCGAUAGAUCUCAAAUCACAACUAUUGUUUUGGCAGCUAGAGAGGAUGUGAUAGGGGUCAUUAUUGGGGGCACUCUGGGCCAUGCUAUCUGUACAGGCAUUGCAGUAUUAGGAGGAAGAAUUGUAGCUCAAAAGAUAUCUGUUAGAACUGUGACGUUGAUAGGCGGUGUUGUUUUCCUGGUGUUUGCACUGUCAGCUUUCUUGUUGCCAGUACAUGACAUAUAAGACUCAACCAUUUUCAUCAUCAGAAAGAUCUUUAUAAAAGAAAUAUUUAUUGACUUGAUAGAUAUUAUAGGUGUGUCAGGUACAUGCACAUUAUGGCCUUCAAAUAUGGUAAAUAAACACAAUCAAAGUAUCAUUAGUUCAUACCCAGUCACUUGUAAUGUCUCAUAUAAUUUGCGUACUCUUUGGUCAUUCUCAGUCUUCUUACAUAUAACUCCUGCUAUGUGGAUGAGUGGAUAAAGUAAUCAACAUCUCGGAUCACCCACAAGUUCUUACAGAUGUUGACUGGAGGCCUUGUUAAACACGUCUCUCAGAUCAAGGAAUUAAAUGUAACUUACGUGCCAAAAAAUGAUCGAGUCUGGUAAUUCGUGUAUUUAGAGUUACCACCUUUCACAAUGUUUGUGAAUUUGUUGGAGUGUUCAGUAUUUUAUGGCUACAAGUAUAAAAAUCUGAAUUUAUGUACCGUGUCCAUGGGAACUUGUUUGAUCCUGAUCUAUAUGUAUUAAAGAGAUGUUAAAAGAAUUUGACAUGAUUUUUCCAUCUAUAUAGGCCAAUUGAUUGCUCAUGAUUUUCACAUUUUUAUAAUGAACUUUAAAUGUGCUAGAUUAUUUAUAAAAUUUUGUUUCAUUUAACAUAUGAUGAAAUUCACUCCACCUGAAAAUAACUCAAGAGAAAGUCAUGUUAAAAGCUUGUGAUAACUCCCCAUGGAAUUCAUGUGUGGCAAAAUGUUUGUUUUCUGAUGGUGUGAUGUUGUGUGUAUGGGUAAAAGUUUCAGUGAUUGUGUCAAUGUGAGCACAGUAACUGUGGUUACUUUUUUAUGUAUUAGUAUUAUAAUGUGCUUUGCACAACAUGUAGAU